UACGUAGGGUGCAAGCGUUAUCCGGAAUGAUUGGGCGUAAAGCGUCCGCAGGUGGCUAUGUAAGUCUGCUGUUAAAGAGUGAGGCUCAACCUCAUAAGAGCAGUGGAAACUACAUGGCUAGAGUGCGUUCGGGGCAGAGGGAAUUCCUGGUGUAGCGGUGAAAUGCGUAGAGAUCAGGAAGAACACCGGUGGCGAAAGCGUUCUGCUAGACCUGUACUGACACUGAGGGACGAAAGCUAGGGGAGCGAAUGGG
rnacentral:rRNA from 1 species